rnacentral:rRNA from 1 species
UACGGGGGGGGUAAGCGUUGUUCGGAAUUACUGGGCGUAAAGGGCUCGUAGGCGGCCAACUAAGUCAGACGUGAAAUCCCUCAGCUUAACUGGGGAACUGCGUCUGAUACUGGAUGGCUUGGAUUUGGGAGAGGGGUGCGGAAUUCCAGGUGUAGCGGUGAAAUGCGUAGAUAUCUGGAGGAACACCAAUGGCGAAGGCAGCUCGCUGGGACGUUACUGACGCUGAGACGCGAAAGCGUGGGGAGCAACAGG